rnacentral:rRNA from 1 species
GAUGAACGCUGGCGGCGUGCCUAAUACAUGCAAGUCGAGCGAACAGACGAGGAGCUUGCUCCUCUGACGUUAGCGGCGGACGGGUGAGUAACACGUGGAUAACCUACCUAUAAGACUGGGAUAACUUCGGGAAACCGGAGCUAAUACCGGAUAAUAUAUUGAACCGCAUGGUUCAAUAGUGAAAGACGGUUUUGCUGUCACUUAUAGAUGGAUCCGCGCCGCAUUAGCUAGUUGGUAAGGUAACGGCUUACCAAGGCAACGAUGCGUAGCCGACCUGAGAGGGUGAUCGGCCAGACUGGAACUGAGACCCGGUCCAGACUCCUACGGGAGGCAGCAGUAGGGAAUCUUCCGCAAUGGGCGAAAGCCUGACGGAGCAACGCCGCGUGAGUGAUGAAGGUCUUCGGAUCGUAAAACUCUGUUAUUAGGGAAGAACAAAUGUGUAAGUAACUAUGCACGUCUUGACGGUACCUAAUCAGAAAGCCACGGCUAACUACGUG